rnacentral:pre_miRNA from 1 species
GGGGGAGGCGGGAUCCUGGGCUGUGUCUCCUGCGCCCUGUGCUCCGGGGCCUGCGCUGAUAGAUUCGCGCUCCCGGGCCGCGCAACACCCU